GAUGAACGCUGGCGGCGUGCUUAACACAUGCAAGUCGAACGGAAAGGCCUCUGCUUGCAGGGGUACUCGAGUGGCGAACGGGUGAGUAACACGUGGGUGAUCUGCCCUGCACUUCGGGAUAAGCCUGGGAAACUGGGUCUAAUACCGGAUAGGACAAUGGUUUGGAUGCUGUUGUGGAAAGUUUUUCGGUGUGGGAUGAGCUCGCGGCCUAUCAGCUUGUUGGUGGGGUAAUGGCCUACCAAGGCGUCGACGGGUAGCCGGCCUGAGAGGGUGUACGGCCACAUUGGGACUGAGAUACGGCCCAGACUCCUACGGGAGGCAGCAGUGGGGAAUAUUGCACAAUGGGCGCAAGCCUGAUGCAGCGACGCCGCGUGGGGGGUGACGGCCUUCGGGUUGUAAACUCCUUUCGCUAGGGACGAAGCGUUUUUGUGACGGUACCUGGAGAAGAAGCACCGGCUAACUACGUG
rnacentral:rRNA from 1 species